rnacentral:rRNA from 1 species
UUCGAUUCUGGCUCAGGAUGAACGCUGGCGGCGUGCUUAACACAUGCAAGUCGAACGGAGUAUAUUUAAAAGCUUGCUUUGUUUAUACUUAGUGGCGGACGGGUGGGUAACGCGUGGGUAACCUGCCUUAUACCGGGGGACAACAGUUGGAAACGACUGCUAAUACCGCAUAAGCGCACGAUGAGGCAUCUCGUUGUGUGAAAAAACUCCGGUGGUAUAAGAUGGACCCGCGUCUGAUUAGCCAGUUGGCGGUGUAACGGACCACCAAAGCGACGAUCAGUAGCCGGCCUGAGAGGGCAAACGGCCACAUUGGGACUGAGACACGGCCCAAACUCCUACGGGAGGCAGCAGUGGGGAAUAUUGCACAAUGGAGGAAACUCUGAUGCAGCCGACGCCGCGUGAGUGAAGAAGUAUUUCGGUAUGUAAAGCUCUAUCAGCAGGAAAGAAAAUGACGGUACCUGACUAAGAAGCCCCGGCUAACUACGUGCCAGCAGCAGC